CAGGAUUCGAUUCCCAACUUGAUAUCUGAACUUCACUCUUGGUUCUGGAAAGUGAAAGGUUUGAAACUUAUCCAUGUUUCGUUUUGGGAUGUAUUUGUAUACUAUGACUAUUUGUGUGGGCUGUAGUGUGUUAAAUUUGGAUAAUGUACUUUUUAUUUUGGAUUGCCAUUUGAAGCUGGAAAAUGUGUAAAACUUAAUUUGGAUGUUUGACUUGAUUGUUGUAUUUUGUUAUAUGAAUUUUUUUCUUAGUUGGGACGGUACGAUUCUAUUCCGCA